rnacentral:SRP_RNA from 1 species
AGCAGUGGUCCCCGCAAGGGGGAACUGAGAACCAGGUCAGGCCUUAACCGGAGCAGCCUUAAUCAGGGUACUCUUGUGCGGGGACCGCUCCUCAG